rnacentral:rRNA from 2 species
AAAUUGAAGAGUUUGAUCAUGGCUCAGAUUGAACGCUGGCGGCAGGCCUAACACAUGCAAGUCGAGCGGUAGCACAGAGAGCUUGCUCUCGGGUGACGAGCGGCGGACGGGUGAGUAAUGUCUGGGAAACUGCCUGAUGGAGGGGGAUAACUACUGGAAACGGUAGCUAAUACCGCAUAACGUCGCAAGACCAAAGUGGGGGACCUUCGGGCCUCAUGCCAUCAGAUGUGCCCAGAUGGGAUUAGCUAGUAGGUGGGGUAACGGCUCACCUAGGCGACGAUCCCUAGCUGGUCUGAGAGGAUGACCAGCCACACUGGAACUGAGACACGGUCCAGACUCCUACGGGAGGCAGCAGUGGGGAAUAUUGCACAAUGGGCGCAAGCCUGAUGCAGCCAUGCCGCGUGUGUGAAGAAGGCCUUCGGGUUGUAAAGCACUUUCAGCGGGGAGGAAGGCGUUAAGGUUAAUAACCUUGGCGAUUGACGUUACCCGCAGAAGAAGCACCGGCUAACUCCGUGCCAGCAGCCGCGGUAAUACGGAGGGUGCAAGCGUUAAUCGGAAUUACUGGGCGUAAAGCGCACGCAGGCGGUCUGUCAAGUCGGAUGUGAAAUCCCCGGGCUCAACCUGGGAACUGCAUUCGAAACUGGCAGGCUAGAGUCUUGUAGAGGGGGGUAGAAUUCCAGGUGUAGCGGUGAAAUGCGUAGAGAUCUGGAGGAAUACCGGUGGCGAAGGCGGCCCCUGGACAAAGACUGACGCUCAGGUGCGAAAGCGUGGGGAGCAAACAGGAUUAGAUACCCUGGUAGUCCACGCCGUAAACGAUGUCGAUUUGGAGGUUGUGCCCUUGAGGCGUGGCUUCCGGAGCUAACGCGUUAAAUCGACCGCCUGGGGAGUACGGCCGCAAGGUUAAAACUCAAAUGAAUUGACGGGGGCCCGCACAAGCGGUGGAGCAUGUGGUUUAAUUCGAUGCAACGCGAAGAACCUUACCUGGUCUUGACAUCCACAGAACUUUCCAGAGAUGGAUUGGUGCCUUCGGGAACUGUGAGACAGGUGCUGCAUGGCUGUCGUCAGCUCGUGUUGUGAAAUGUUGGGUUAAGUCCCGCAACGAGCGCAACCCUUAUCCUUUGUUGCCAGCGGUCCGGCCGGGAACUCAAAGGAGACUGCCAGUGAUAAACUGGAGGAAGGUGGGGAUGACGUCAAGUCAUCAUGGCCCUUACGACCAGGGCUACACACGUGCUACAAUGGCAUAUACAAAGAGAAGCGACCUCGCGAGAGCAAGCGGACCUCAUAAAGUAUGUCGUAGUCCGGAUUGGAGUCUGCAACUCGACUCCAUGAAGUCGGAAUCGCUAGUAAUCGUAGAUCAGAAUGCUACGGUGAAUACGUUCCCGGGCCUUGUACACACCGCCCGUCACACCAUGGGAGUGGGUUGCAAAAGAAGUAGGUAGCUUAACCUUCGGGAGGGCGCUUACCACUUUGUGAUUCAUGACUGGGGUGAAGUCGUAACAAGGUAACCGUAGGGGAACCUGCGGUUGGAUCACCUCCUUA